rnacentral:lncRNA from 1 species
AGGUGAGGGUCUAUUCCCGAACUCCUCUUAUUCGGCUUAGGACCUCGAAUAAGUAUAAUUUAUUUCUAAUGUGUGAAAUCGAGUCUGUCAUUGCUUGUUUAGUUUUAGGUUCUUUGCAUAAACCGGAACUAGGGGGUUAGAGGAUUCAACAUUGAUUGUUUCACUUAAUGUAAAUUCUUAGCUAGGAUUGUUUUUGUUUGGAGACGGAUACAGAGUCGGACUGCUGUAUGCCGGAUUGUAUGGAGGUCACGGCCAACUUUAGUCGACCGGUUGAGCCGUAGACUGGAAGUGUCGAUAAAUCGUCUACGGGCGUGUGUUACCGAGCACUUUUUCGGUGUGUGUAUGAACCGAGCACCUUUUCGGUAGUGUUUUGGCCUGUUAGUGGGCAGCGAGUGUGCACCUCGCUAGGACCAUUGUUUGUUGUUUGGGUACUUUAGGUACUGUGUUUGACAUGCAUUAUAAUUAAAUUAUAUUUAUUCGGAGUGCUAUGUCCGGGUCCAUGGACUUCGGGGUGGCAUCCCAUACCUCACUGAGCGAUUCCCCUGUCGCUCACCCCUCACUCUUCCCCCUUUCAGGUGAGACAAACAAGUAUGUGAUAUUUGGACGGACUUGGUGCUACUGGACUUUUCUUUCGGAUUUUAUUUGGGCAUGGGUGAGAGUUGUCGGGUUUAUGGGCUUUUAUAUUACGGGAUAUUGUUGGUGGCCCGUCGUCCUUAGUGUCAGGGAGACGGGUGUCACAUUGUUGUAUGAUGACGCGUCGGGGGUGACACGCUGUCCUCCAUAUAGGAGGUGACGGGUGUCACAAUUUGGUAUCAGAGCGGGUUCCAUCCCGGUUCCGUCCGGGAUGGCGGUCAGGGGAUUCGGUUUUCAUCGGUUUUCAACUUAAAAAAAAAAACUAUAUAUUUAUUUAUACAUUUCGAAAUUCUUUUAGCACCAUUCUGUCCAGUAAUUACUAACUCAAAUGUCUCUUUCUAUGACGAUGAGUAAAAUCAUCGUCAUUCGUCCUUCGACUAUCAAGGUUCUCGACAGAUGUUCAGCAGUUGCGUGAAGUCCAAGUUCGUCAGUUUUCUCGGGAGUUAUCAGUUUCUUCGGUCAUGAUUUCGAGGCUAUCCAGGAGUGGAUAUGUGACGUUUCUGCCACCAGCCCACUUCAAGCAAUCGUUCCACGAGUUUUGUUACUGGAGAUUAUGUGGUGUGUGGUAUGAGCCAUUGGUUGGCAUGUGUUGUUGUGUGUACGAGUAUAUUGACUAUUUUGGAGAUAUAUUUGUUUUGUGAACUCGUGGAGAUCGCUUUUGAAUUGGGGUGCAGCAGCUUGCGUUGUGUGGGUGUUGGAGUUACACUUUGGUAUGUUUACCAAUUUUGGCAGUGUUGAUCGUUUCAGAGAUGUGUCAGUUUGGGCAACUGACAUAGGACAUUGGGAGCUAUUUAUAUCCAUCGCAGUGUACCAGUUAUGCUUGGAGGGCCGAUUUGUUCGGAUAUUCAUCAGAGAUGGAGCUACGUUUUUACGAUGUUAUCCUUGGGAUUGCCUGAGGGCAAGAUUGACUGUCACGGCAUCAAGUAGUGUUGGAUUGCCUGAGGGCAAGAGUUUCGAUUGCUGGAGCAGAUGGAAGUUGUUAGUGCAUGCAUGCUACAUACUGAGGAGUUAUGGGAUACAAGUAUAUAUAGAUUUUUGACUACCAUCUCGAUGGUUAAGGAUGAUGGACAACAUGAGCUGCAGGAUCUUCCGGUUAUUGCAGAGUAUGAGGAUAUAUUUGUGACCUUUGGAAAGGCCACCACAUGACACAUGAGAAACUCUUGCGAUUUGUUUGGAGCAAACAACACCAGUUUCACAAGUUUUAUACCCAUUAGCACCAACAGAGAUGACAAAGCUGAAAGAGCAUGUUGAAGAUUCAUCAGACAAGGGUUUUAUCAGACCGGAUACUUUACCGUGGGGAACAUCAUCAUUGUUGUUGUAAAGAAGAAAGGUGGGAGUGUCAAUUUUGUAUCGACUACAAAGGUCUGAACAAAGUGACCAUUAAAGAUAAGUAUCGCUUCCGCGCAUUGAUGAAUUAUUGGAUUAUUUACAGGAAGUUUAUAGUUCUUGAAGGUUGACAUGGCAUCAGAACACCAUCAGAUUACUAUAUUUGAAGAGUAUCUACUGAAUGUAAAUUUUUGUAUACAUUAUGGAUAUUAUGGGACGCAGUGAUACCAUUUGGCUCGACAAAGGCACUGUUGCAUUCAUGAAGAUAUGAAUGACGUUUUCAUGAACAUUUGGAUAGGUGUGCGAUUGUAUUCAUCGAUGACAUCCUGAUUUAUUUUGGAGAAGAAAGGAGAUUUGUGAGCAUUUCGCGGAUUGCGUUGGAUAAGCCUGGAGAGCAUCAGUUGUUCGCUAAGUUGAGGAAGUGUAGCUUCUGGCAAAGGAAUGUUGUAUUUUUGGCUGACAUGGUUUUGGAAGCAGAAUUUUGAUGGAUCCAAAGAAGAUUAAUACCGUUUCGGGAAGGUCGAAACCUAAGAGCGCUACAAAGAUCUGCCGUUCUUUUUGGGUUAAUAGUGUACUACUGGAAGUUCAUCAAGGGUUUCCCCGGUAUAGUAAUGUUAAAGACGCGGUCUACAUGUAAAGACGUAAAGUGUGGCUGGAUAGAUUUUGUUCGAGGAGUUUCACUGAAUUGAAGCACAACUAAUGAAGACACCAGUUUUGGGUUCUACUGAGGCUGAGGCUUACUGUGAUGUGUCAGAUACUGGAUUGGAUUUAAAUUAAGGUAUGAGGAUUAAGUCAUUCAUAUGCAUCAUGCCAGAGAGGCUGUAGUGGUAUUUGCGUUAUAGUUUUGGAAAUCAUAAUUGUACGGGAAGGAAGUUUAGAUUCUCUGGGAUUAUUAGAAUGUGAAAUUUAUCUUCAUUUAUUAAAAACUUGUACUUGGACAGUGCAAUUGGAUUGAGUUUGUAGCAAGCUAUAGUUUGGAUAUCACAUACUAUCUGGUAAGGACAACCAGGUGAUAAAUGCCUUGGGUAGGCGUAUGAGCUGUAUCUCAGGAACCAAGAAGGUUCAUGAGUUUACUGGGAGAUUUGCUAGUCUCAGGUUGGGUGCCAUUACUAUCAAUGGAGAGACAGAUGUCCUUGAGGAUUGGAGCAUGCAGUUUUGCUAUGGAGGAUACGCAAGCACAAGUUAGCAUUGGAUUUGGUUGAACAGAUCGAGAUUGAGAGUAUUGGAUAUCAUACAGCUUUGAGCAGGAUAUACUUGUACCGGAACCGAGUUUGUGUGUUGGACGAUAAGUUGUUAAGAAAAAGAAUCUUACAACAAACAUAUCACUCGAGUUUCUCUACCCAUCGGGAACACCAAAGGGUACAAAGAUAUGAAGAGUUAACUAUAAUUGGUGUAGUGUGAAGAUGUUUGUAACUACAUUACGUCGCGGUGCCAGACAUGUUAUCGGGCAAUGACAGAGGAUCAGUUAUCUAUUAUGUUAUUUUUUGAGCUUGUUUUUGCCGGAGUGGAAAUGAGGCAUGGUGAUUAUGGACAUUGUUAUUGGAUUUUAAAUCACCAUAUGUGGAAAGGAUGCCACAUGGGUAGUCAUGGAUAGACUUACAAAGUCAGCCCAUUUCCUAAGUAAUUAAGAAGAUAAUCAGGGCUAAUCAAUUGGAGCAGACCUACAUUAUUGAGUUUGGGAAGUUUCAUGGAUGUCAACAUUGUAUCGGAUUGAGAAUCGAAGUUCACAUCUACAUUUCAGAGAGCCUUUCGGAAGGCACUUGGGACAAAGAUCAUAUGAGUACAUCUUAUCACCCGUUGACAUAUUGUCAGUCAGAGAGGACUAUUCAGACUUUGGAGGAUAUGCUCAGAGCUUGUGUUUUAGAUUGGGAAGGUAGUUGGGUGAAGUAUCUACCUCUAGCCGAGUUUGCCUACAACAACAGCUAUCAUUCGAGUAUUGGGAUGGCACCAUAUGAGGCUCUAUAUGGUAGGCCUUGUCGCACGCCACUUUGUUGGACGGAAGUGGGAGAACAACGUGAGAUAGAACCAGCCAUGGUUCAAGAGACAGUCGAACAGGUCGAGAUGCUCAAGAUGCGGCUUAAGGAAGCCCAUGACCGUCAGAAGAGUUAUGCAGAUAAACGGCGAAGAGAUUUGGAGUUUCAAGUUGGCGACCUAGUAUACCUGAAAAUGAGGACAUUUCAGGGAGGAUCUAAGACUCGGAAGCUAAAGAAGCUUAAACCAAGAUAUAUGGGACCAUAUCCUAUUUUGGAGCGGAUUGGAGCAGUUGCUUACCGACUAAAUUUAUCAGGAGAGUUAUCAGAUUUCCAUGACGUGUUUCAUGUUUCCGUUUUGAGGAAAGUAGUGAGAGAGCCAGAGCUCAUUUUGCAGCAACCACCUAGAAACCUUGGCAAAGGGUUACGUGGGUUGUGCCAGCCAGUAGAGAUAUUGGAUCGCCAAGUGAAAGCAGAUCGUGGAAUGAUGACCAUGUUGAUCAAGGUUCGUUGGGAGGGAGACGGAAUUCAGGAGGAUACCUGGGAGUCCGAGCCCCAAAUGAGGAUUGAUUAUCCAGAGCUGUUUCGGGAUGUCAUUGGAGAGUUUGGAGAUGUGAAUUCGGGGUCGAAUUCCUUGUUAGUGGGGGAGAAUUGUAAUGACCCACCUCCACUAUCCCCACUAUCUCCACCAUCUCCACCAUCCCCACCACUCCCACCAUCUCCACCAUCCCCAACUUCUUUAAAGAGAAAGAGAGAGAGAGGGAGAGAGAGAGAGAGAGAGAAAGAGAGAGAAAGCUCACCUGAGCUCGUCGCCGGAGCAACCGUGUGCCGUGAUCACGUUCAGCUUGCCACCACCGAUAAACGCCCUAGGUAACCGCCGAAAACCGCAUUUCUUAAGCUCAUUUUCGUUUCCGUUUAGUAAAUCACCCAUAACUUCCUAACCAUUGAUCAUCUCGUACAUCCAAGGCCAUCAUCGUGUUCCUCUCGUCGAGACGAAGCCGUAGACACCAACCACGCCUCAAACGGAGCCCGGACGAAGCCGCACGCGCCUCCCGAAGAUUCGCCUCGGCGCGCGCGUGAAACACACGCGCCACCGCCUUCCGCCGGAGCCACCGCGAGUUCCGGCCACGCGCCGCCGUCUCCGACCAACGUUCGCCGGAGCUGCCGUGACCGACCACCGUCCGUCCGCCGCCGAGAAGCCGCCGCCGCGUCGCCGCCUCGCCGCCGUCGCCGCCGUUGAUUUUCCGGUAAGCCGCCGGGGACCGACACCGGUGACUCGCCGGUGACUCGCCAACUCGGCCGAGUCAACCCGGUGAGUCAACUCGGUGACUCGGUCAACCUGUGGUUUGACCGGUUUAAAUCGAUUUCGAUUCGGUUAGGUUAAACCGGUCGGAUAAAAUCAAUUGGAAAUCGGUUAGGGAAAACCGGAUUAAUUAAUUAAUUAAUUAAAUAAUUAAUCUUUGACCAGCGGGUUGACUUUUCCGUAAAUACCCGUUUUAAACCGUUCGAAAGGCGUUCUGACUCGAAAUUUCGAUCUGAUUUCAGAUUUGGAGUCCAUUUGAGCAGCUGGAGUUCAUAGAUAUCUCUUAUUAUUGCUAAGGUGAGGGUCUAUUCCCGAACUCCUCUUAUUCGGCUUAGGACCUCGAAUAAGUAUAAUUUAUUUCUAAUGUGUGAAAUCGAGUCUGUCAUUGCUUGUUUAGUUUUAGGUUCUUUGCAUAAACCGGAACUAGGGGGUUAGAGGAUUCAACAUUGAUUGUUUCACUUAAUGUAAAUUCUUAGCUAGGAUUGUUUUUGUUUGGAGACGGAUACAGAGUCGGACUGCUGUAUGCCGGAUUGUAUGGAGGUCACGGCCAACUUUAGUCGACCGGUUGAGCCGUAGACUGGAAGUGUCGAUAAAUCGUCUACGGGCGUGUGUUACCGAGCACUUUUUCGGUGUGUGUAUGAACCGAGCACCUUUUCGGUAGUGUUUUGGCCUGUUAGUGGGCAGCGAGUGUGCACCUCGCUAGGACCAUUGUUUGUUGUUUGGGUACUUUAGGUACUGUGUUUGACAUGCAUUAUAAUUAAAUUAUAUUUAUUCGGAGUGCUAUGUCCGGGUCCAUG